rnacentral:lncRNA from 1 species
GAGAUAUGUGUGUAGAUUAAGUAAACAAUUUUAAACCAUUAAUCUAUUUAUUUGCUGAAUUGUUAGACGAGUCUCAUUACGAUGAUACUUUUUUCAACAGCGCCACGGUAACUUUAUUUCACCAGGAACGGAGUAUGGGGACUUCCGGAUCCGCUUAGUUUUCGAUUUCGCGGGUCAGCACAAAAAAGCUAAAGUCGUUGAUUUUAUGGGAAGAUGUCUAACAACGAGGUAUUCCAUAUUCCUUACCUUUGUGACGGAUUGGCAUUGUCAGACAACUCUUGGUAAAGUUAAUUCAGAGUUGGCUAAUGGUUUAUUGCGUGUUGUCACCACAGUGCGACAACCAGACACAAGCAUGUCACUGCUGUCCAUGGUUGAGCAAGCUAUCAAGUCUUGCAAAGCUGAACAAACCAAGAUUAACGAGAGUAUUCAACUUUACAGAGAACUGCUACAGACCUUAACGCCACAACCAAAGAUGGGCUCUGAUGAGUCAGAAUGUGCCGAUGAUGCAGCUCCAGUUACCUCACCAGGGGAGAAAGAAGAUAUGGAAUUGCUUGAGCGAGCACUGGAGAAAGCCCUUCGGGUCCGCACUGGCACAGCAUCUUCUAAAAAAGACUCAAACAAACAAUCUGCCUCUCAAAAGGAACCCGUCACUACAGCUGUCUCAUCCAAAGAGAAAAUGCAGGCUUCUGCAGCUUCUAAACGAAAUCCGACGACCUCCAGAUCAACCUCUAAAUGUGCCGGUCUUGACAGAAAAGAGCACAAAAAGCCUGCUGGGAUUGUACAUCACCAGGCAGUGAGGACAUCACAGCUGACUGUCUCAGCGUCUGUCUCACUUGUCCGGGGUCAGUCACACACCUCCACCCUCCACUCUAAAAACAAGACCAUUAGAAGCAACGUGCUCAGUGGAAAUGACCUGGGCAAAGCUGCAGCUUCCUCCACUCUUUCAAAUCACUCGCUGCCUGUUUCACAUACAGAGGAGACUGGAGCUCGCAGUUCACCUCAACAGUAUGGGAAAGCUUCUGAACAAACGGCAAAAUGGAAAUCUCUAAGGAGCAAGAAGAACAGGUUAUGGGACAAAGUUGUUGCCCUACAAAGGAAACCUGUGCCAGGGAGGAGUCACUUCAUGGACAGAAUGAGAGCUACGUUCCCUAAGGAUUGGCCAUGUGGUUGCCCAGAUCAGACCAGGGCUGCAGUCGACAGACUGACUCACCAAGGGCAUGACCUCACCCAGCUGCAGCCAGACAAAGGAGUUUCUGGCCAAACGGAUGCCAGAAGCAGCCACAGAAUUGGGUAA